UAGGGAAUCUUCCGCAAUGGGCGAAAGCCUGACGGAGCAACGCCGCGUGAGUGAUGAAGGUCUUCGGAUCGUAAAGCUCUGUUAUUAGGGAAGAACAUGUGCGUAAGUAACUGUGCGCAUCUUGACGGUACCUAAUCAGAAAGCCACGGCUAACUACGUG
rnacentral:rRNA from 1 species